GGAAAGAUGGCUCAGAGGUUAUAGAGCACUGACUAUUCCUCCAGAGGUCCUGAGUUCAAUUCCCAGCAACCA
rnacentral:tRNA from 1 species